rnacentral:lncRNA from 1 species
UAUAGGGCUGCAUCCCCACAAAGUCCUGAAGUCAGUAUCGUUUUCUUGUACGAAAUUUAUAAAGACGGCUUUAUUAGAUACAAGCCAAUAGAAUAGUCUGAUGGACCUAUAGAUAUUUUAUUAGUAUUCUCAUUAUUGGAGUCAGCUUGAGCUCUGAAAUUAGUUUGAGAUGCCCUCAAGAGCAUGUUUCUUGCUGCUGCGGUUUU